UUAAGUUAACAAAUGCGGUUAUUACCUCGUUGGUAUGUGUACUAUGAGAGGCGAUUGUGGCCUUUAACCGUUUUAACCAUAAAGUGAUGAAAACGCUCGGCCGCGCGUCCGCAAAUGCUGCUUUCAAAGGCACAUCGUAAAUUCAGGCGGCGGUUUAAUUCAAGCACAGACCACAAACCGCAUUUGGCUCUUAGCUGUCGAAACUUUAUCUCAAUUUCCAAAUGUAACAUCAAUAUCAGACUUUAAUAGAUACCAUCUGGUAAAGCCUACUACUGAAUUUUACAAAACGAUCAACACAAAGUCAAUGAAGCUGCAUGAUGUCCCUCAUGGACCAGACGUGGACAGAGUGGACCAGAUUGACACGCUAAUAUAGCCUAUUGCAUAGCUGUGAGGAUGGUCACCAGUGGCCAAAUAAUUUCCAUAAAUUGGGGCCAUGUAAUGCCAGCACUUACCUUGGGAACGCUCAGAAAUCAGUAUUUUGUCCAGUUUUUCCUGCAUUGUACAGAGAUGUUAGCCUCAGUGUUUACUGUCAUGGGCAGGCUGAGUGCAGACUGAUGUGUGGACCCAAAUGCAGACAACACAAGAGGUGGUGCAGUUCAGAAAAUAUUUAUUAACUCAAAUAGGCUUCCACGGGAGAUCGAGGCAAGAGUCCAAACAAAGCUUGUGUAACCAAAGAGUGGUGCUGGGUGAGCAGAGCAGAAUGGCGAGGAUGUAUAACCACAGUGGCAAACUGAACGAUCUGGGGAAGACUGGAGUGAAGAGCUUCACUGCUGAGUCUUGAUAAUCGAUGAGUCUCAGAGGAUCAGGAACAGAAAGCCAUGCCCAGGACAGACAGACACACACACACACACACACAGAAAAACACAGGGAAAUUAUUAUUUCUGACUGCCAUAUUUAGUACCACCUAAACUCAAUGUAAUUAUCAAAUUUUAAG